rnacentral:rRNA from 1 species
GACGAACGCUGGCGGCGUGCUUAACACAUGCAAGUCGAACGGAAAAGCCCUGCUUUUGUUUGGUGCUCGAGUGGCGAACGGGUGAGUAACACGUGAGUAACCUGCCCUUUACUUUGGGAUAACUUCAGGAAACUGCUGCUAAUACCGGAUAAGCGCUCCUUCUGCAUGGUGGGGGUUGGAAAGUUUCGGCUGUUGGGGAUGGACUCGCGGCUUAUCAUCUUGUUGGUGGGGUAGUGGCUUACCAAAGCUUUGACGGGUAGCCGGCCAGAGAGGGUGGCCGGCAACAAUGCGACUGAGAUAAGGCACAGACUAGAAUGGGAGGCAGAGGUGGAGAGUAUUACACAGCGGGAGGGAGCAUGAUGAAGAAAAGCGGCGUGGGGGAGGACGGGAAUGGGGUUGGAAAGCGCAUUCGCGUGGGACGAAGCGUGAGUGACGGUAAUGGGUAAAGAAGCACCGGCUAACUACGUG